rnacentral:rRNA from 1 species
UUGAACGCUGGCGGCAUGCCUUACACAUGCAAGUCGAACGGCAGCACGGGAGCAAUCCUGGUGGCGAGUGGCGAACGGGUGAGUAAUAUAUCGGAACGUGUCCAGUUGUGGGGGAUAGCCCGGCGAAAGCCGGAUUAAUACCGCAUACGACCUACGGGUGAAAGCGGGGGAUCGCAAGACCUCGCGCUAUUGGAGCGGCCGAUGUCAGAUUAGCUUGUUGGUGGGGUAAAAGCCUACCAAGGCGACGAUCUGUAGCUGGUCUGAGAGGACGACCAGCCACACUGGGACUGAGACACGGCCCAGACUCCUACGGGAGGCAGCAGUGGGGAAUUUUGGACAAUGGGCGCAAGCCUGAUCCAGCCAUGCCGCGUGCGGGAAGAAGGCCUGGUGUAACG